GUCACAGUGGGGUAGAGGUAACCUGGAUCGUUGCCACUUACAUAGUCUGUUCGAUCCGCCCCGCGUUCGAUUCGCGGCUGCGACA